AUUGAACGCUGGCGGCAGGCCUAACACAUGCAAGUCGAGCGAGCGGCGGACGGGUGAGUAAUGUAUGGGGACCGUGCGAUAGAGGGGGAUAACAACUGGAAACGGUGGCGAAUACCGCACACUGUAGGAUAACCCAUAAUGGAUUAGCUAGUGGGUAAGGUAAUGGCUUACAUAGGCGACGAUCCCUAGCUGGUCUGAGAGGAUGAUCGGCCACACUGGGACUGAGACACGGCCCAGACUCCUACGGAGGCAGCAGUGGGGAAUAUUGCACAAUGGGCGCAAGCCGGAUGCAGCCAUGCCGCGUGUAUGAAGAAGGCCCUAGGGUUGUAAAGUACUUUCAGUCGAGAAGCGUUACCGACAGAGGAAGCACCGGCUAACUCCGUGCCAGCAGCCGCGGUAAUAC
rnacentral:rRNA from 1 species